rnacentral:rRNA from 1 species
AGCAGCCGCGGUAAUUCCAGCUCCAAUAGCGUAUAUUAAAGUUGUUGCAGUUAAAAAGCUCGUAGUUGAAUUUCGGGAUUGACACAUCGGUCGUGCCUUAAGGGGUAUGAACUGGUGUAGUCAAUUUCUCACCUUCUGGAGAACCGCGAUGCCCUUAAUUGGGUGUCACGGGGAACCAGGACCUUUACUUUGAAAAAAUUUAGAGUGUUUAAAGCAGGCAUUUUGCUUGAAUACAUUAGCAUGGAAUAAUAAAAUAGGACGGCAUGAUUCUAUUUUGUUGGUUUCUAGGAUCACCGUAAUGAUUAAUAGGGAUAGUUGGGGGCAUUAGUAUUCAAUUGUCAGAGGUGAAAUUCUUGGAUUUAUUGAAGACUAACUACUGCGAAAGCAUUUGCCAAGGAUGUUUUUCAUUAAUCAGGAAACGAAAGUUAGGGGAUCGAAGACGAUCAGAUACCGUCGUAGUCUUAACCAUGAACUAUGCCGACUAGGAAUCAGACGAUGUUAAUUUUUUCAAUGACUCGUU